GUAGGUGGCAAGCGUUGUCCGGAAUUAUUGGGCGUAAAGCGCGCGCAGGCGGUCCUUUAAGUCUGAUGUGAAAGCCCACGGCUCAACCGUGGAGGGUCAUUGGAAACUGGGGGACUUGAGUACAGAAGAGGAAAGCGGAAUUCCACGUGUAGCGGUGAAAUGCGUAGAGAUGUGGAGGAACACCAGUGGCGAAGGCGGCUUUUCUGGUCUGUAACUGACGCUGAGGCGCGAAAGCGUGGGGAGCAAACAGGGAUUAGAUACCCUGGUAGUCCACGCCGUAAACGAUGAGUGCUAAGUGUUAGGGGGUUUCCGCCCCCUUAGUGCUGCAGCUAACGCAUUAAGCACUCCGCCUGGGGAUACGGCCGCAAGGCUG
rnacentral:rRNA from 1 species